AGAGUUUGAUCCUGGCUCAGGAUGAACGCUAGCGACAGGCUUAACACAUGCAAGUCGAGGGGCAGCAUGGUUUGUAGCAAUACAGAUUGAUGGCGACCGGCGCACGGGUGAGUAACGCGUAUGCAACUUACCUAUCAGAGGGGGAUAGCCCGGCGAAAGUCGGAUUAAUACCCCAUAAAACAGGGGUCCCGCAUGGGAAUAUUUGUUAAAGAUUCAUCGCUGAUAGAUAGGCAUGCGUUCCAUUAGGCAGUUGGCGGGGUAACGGCCCACCAAACCGACGAUGGAUAGGGGUUCUGAGAGGAAGGUCCCCCACAUUGGUACUGAGACACGGACCAAACUCCUACGGGAGGCAGCAGUGAGGAAUAUUGGUCAAUGGCCGAGAGGCUGAACCAGCCAAGUCGCGUGAAGGAAGAAGGAUCUAUGGUUUGUAAACUUCUUUUAUAGGGGAAUAAAGUGGAGGACGUGUCCUUUUUUGUAUGUACCCUAUGAAUAAGCAUCGGCUAACUCCGUGCCAGCAGCCGCGGUAAUACGGAGGAUGCGAGCGUUAUCCGGAUUUAUUGGGUUUAAAGGGUGCGUAGGUGGUGAUUUAAGUCAGCGGUGAAAGUUUGUGGCUCAACCAUAAAAUUGCCGUUGAAACUGGGUUACUUGAGUGUGUUUGAGGUAGGCGGAAUGCGUGGUGUAGCGGUGAAAUGCAUAGAUAUCACGCAGAACUCCGAUUGCGAAGGCAGCUUACUAAACCAUAACUGACACUGAAGCACGAAAGCGUGGGGAUCAAACAGGAUUAGAUACCCUGGUAGUCCACGCAGUAAACGAUGAUUACUAGGAGUUUGCGAUACAAUGUAAGCUCUACAGCGAAAGCGUUAAGUAAUCCACCUGGGGAGUACGCCGGCAACGGUGAAACUCAAAGGAAUUGACGGGGGCCCGCACAAGCGGAGGAACAUGUGGUUUAA
rnacentral:rRNA from 1 species